rnacentral:lncRNA from 1 species
AUGAUUGCCUCGCCUGGUUCACCAACUACUUCUCUGAUAGAGUUCAGUGUGUCAAAUCGGAGGGUCUGCUGUCCGGACCUCUGGCAGUCUAUGGGGGUGCCACAGGGUUCAAUUCUUGGACCGACUCUCUUCUCUGUAUACAUCAAUGAGGUCGCUCUUGCUGCUGGUGAGUCCCUGAUCCACCUCUACGCAGACGACACCAUUCUGUAUACUUCCGGCCCUUCUUUGGACACUGUGUUAACAACCCUCCAGGCAAGCUUCAAUGCCAUACAACUCUCCUUCCGUGGCCUCCAAUUGCUCUUAAAUACAAGUAAAACUAAAUGCAUGCUCUUCAACCGAUCGCUACCUGCACCUACCCGCCUGUCCAACAUCACUACUCUGGACGGCUCUGACUUAGAAUACGUGGACAACUACAAAUACUUAGGUGUCUGGUUAGAUUGUAAACUCUCCUUCCAGACCCAUAUCAAACAUCUCCAAUCCAAAGUUAAAUCUAGAAUUGGCUUCCUAUUUCGCAACAAAGCAUCCUUCACUCAUGCUGCCAAACAUACCCUUGUAAAACUGACCAUCCUACCAAUCCUCGACUUUGGCGAUGUCAUUUACAAAAUAGCCUCCAAUACCCUACUCAACAAAUUGGAUGCAGUCUAUCACAGUGCAAUCCGUUUUAUCACCAAAGCCCCAUAUACUACCCACCAUUGCGACCUGUACGCUCUCGUUGGCUGGCCCUCGCUUCAUACUCGUCGCCAAACCCACUGGCUCCAUGUCAUCUACAAGACCCUGCUAGGUAAAGUCCCCCCUUAUCUCAGCUCGCUGGUCACCAUAGCAUCUCCCACCUGUAGCACACGCUCCAGCAGGUAUAUCUCUCUAGUCACCCCCAAAACCAAUUCUUUCUUUGGCCGCCUCUCCUUCCAGUUCUCUGCUGCCAAUGACUGGAACGAACUACAAAAAUCUCUGAAACUGGAAACACUUAUCUCCCUCACUAGCUUUAAGCACCAACUGUCAGAGCAGCUCACAGAUUACUGCACCUGUACAUAG